rnacentral:rRNA from 1 species
AAGAGUUUUUGAUUCUGGCUCAGGAUGAACGCUGGCGGCGUGCCUAAUACAUGCAAGUCGAGCGAACGGACGAGAAGCUUGCUUCUCUGAUGUUAGCGGCGGACGGGUGAGUAACACGUGGAUAACCUACCUAUAAGACUGGGAUAACUUCGGGAAACCGGAGCUAAUACCGGAUAAUAUUUUGAACCGCAUGGUUCAAAAGUGAAAGACGGUCUUGCUGUCACUUAUAGAUGGAUCCGCGCUGCAUUAGCUAGUUGGUAAGGUAACGGCUUACCAAGGCAACGAUGCAUAGCCGACCUGAGAGGGUGAUCGGCCACACUGGAACUGAGACACGGUCCAGACUCCUACGGGAGGCAGCAGUAGGGAAUCUUCCGCAAUGGGCGAAAGCCUGACGGAGCAACGCCGCGUGAGUGAUGAAGGUCUUCGGAUCGUAAAACUCUGUUAUUAGGGAAGAACAUAUGUGUAAGUAACUGUGCACAUCUUGACGGUACCUAAUCAGAAAGCCACGGCUAACUACGUGCCAGCAGCCGCGGUAAUACGUAGGUGGCAAGCGUUAUCCGGAAUUAUUGGGCGUAAAGCGCGCGUAGGCGGUUUUUUAAGUCUGAUGUGAAAGCCCACGGCUCAACCGUGGAGGGUCAUUGGAAACUGGAAAACUUGAGUGCAGAAGAGGAAAGUGGAAUUCCAUGUGUAGCGGUGAAAUGCGCAGAGAUAUGGAGGAACACCAGUGGCGAAGGCGACUUUCUGGUCUGUAACUGACGCUGAUGUGCGAAAGCGUGGGGAUCAAACAGGAUUAGAUACCCUGGUAGUCCACGCCGUAAACGAUGAGUGCUAAGUGUUAGGGGGUUUCCGCCCCUUAGUGCUGCAGCUAACGCAUUAAGCACUCCGCCCGGGAGCC